UCUCUAAUCUGGUCUAGUGGAGUACCCCUUUAGGGUCUUUAGGAGGGCUGGACGCAGCCAUAACUCCAAGACCUGGCCUCGGACCACGACGGUGGCCGGUGGCUUCAGGUUCAGGUUUUGGUUAGUCUCUGUUUUGUGUUUUGUUGUUAGUGUCUUUGUUCUGUUCUGUUUCUGUUUUGUCAACCAUUAGUCCCGCAAUGGGUCUGUCUCAGUCUGCUUCUGCUUGCUCUCCGUUGCAGUGUUUCUUGAAAAAUUUUCAGGACUUCCGCCGACGAGCUGCAGGGUCGGGGGCUACGGUCAACCCAGGAACCCUUCGGGCCCUUUGUGAGCUCGAAUGGCCAACUUUUCCAGACUCUAACUGGCCACCAGAGGGCACUCUAAACUUGCCAAUUGCCUUUCAGGUUCAAAAAGUCAUUUGUGGGAAACCGGGACAUCCGGAUCAGAUUCCCUACAUUGAAACCUGGAUCGACGUCCUCGCUGACCGCCCCACAUGGCUUAAAAAUUGCUCACCACCUAAACCGUCCAAAGAGCGAGAUGUGCUCAUUCUAGAGGGGCCACCCAAAAGGCCCCCGGUCCUCGAUCCUCCACAGGAUAGUCCCCCCUUAACACGGCCCCCACCUUAUUCCGCAGGGCCCCCUGCCCUUCCCCCUAGCUCAGGGCCUUCUGCCCCCGGCCCAAGGCCCUCUCCUCCAAGUCCAGAACCCUCUGUUCUCAGCCCGGAACCCAUUGCUUCAAGCUCGGGGCCCUCUACCUCAAGAACGGAAGGGCUCUCUACCUCAAGAAUGGAGGAACCCCUUGUUCCCACUCCGGAUUCCACUACAACUCUCUCCAGCCCCCCCCAUACCCGUUCCGGAAGUUCGUACGGACCACAUGGCCAGGUUUUUGUCCCUGCCCAGUUACCCCUGAGGCAAGUUAUUCAGGGCCCCCCUGAAGACCCAAAGCCCUUUAUGGUUUACGUUCCUUUUUCCACCAGUGACCUGUACAAUUGGAAGAAUCAAAACCCUUCUUUCUCUCAAAACCCCCAAGGACUAAUCUCUCUGUUAGAGUCCGUUUUCUUUACUCAUCAGCCCACAUGGGAUGACUGUCAACAACUUCUGCAGACCCUUUUCACGUCAGAAGAGAGAGAGAGAAUCCGUGCCCAGGGACGGAGACUAGUCGUGGGGCCAGACGGUCUGCCAACCACGGAAGUAGACUGCCUGGAAGCUGUUUUUCCCCUCACCCGACCCCGGUGGGACCCUAACACUGGUCAAGGUAAGGAGGCUCUCGAACGGUACCACCGGACUCUAAUGGGGGCUCUCCGAGCAGCAGCGCGGAGGCCUACAAAUAUGUCUAAGGUAACGGAGGUAACUCAGGGGGCCACCAAGUCCCCCACUGCUUUUCUAGAGCGCCUCCAGGAGGCUUACCGGUUAUACACCCCUAUAGAUCCGGAGGCGCCAGAGAACAGGCGGGCAAUUAAUAUUGCCUUCGUCGCCCAGUCAGCCCCAGAUAUAAGGAAAAAGUUACAGAAGUUAGAAGGCUUUGAGGGAAAGGUACUGAGCGAGUUGGUAGAGGUUGCUCAAUGUGUCUUCAAUAAUAGAGAAAGUUCGAAAGACUUAAACAAAAAAAAUGGCAAAAGUCCUACUUGCCAUGAGUGAGGACCAGACGCGGAAUAAAAACCAAGGAGGAGGUCAGAAGUUUGAAGAAAAGCCAGGGGGAGGAAAUAAAUUGUCUGGCGAGAGAGGGGGGCGAAAAGGACCCUCCCUAGGCCAAAACCAAUGUGGUUUCUGUAAGGAGCAGGGGCACUGGAAAAACGAGUGCCCAAGAAAAUCUUGUCGAGAACCGUCAAAGGUCCUUCUAAAGAAGGAAGACUGGCGGGGCCGGGGCUCCACCCUUAGCCCCCAGGAGCCCAGGGUCACUCUUAAAGUAGGGGGCCGAGACAUUGACUUUUUAGUGGACACUGGGGCAACUUUUUCUGUGCUCCAGGAAGCAGAAGGCCCUCUAUCGCAAAAACGGAUCCCAAUUCAAGGGGCCACUGGAGGAAUCAAGUCCUAUCCAUGGACACAGGCCCGGAUAAGUAACUUAGGGGAAAGAACCGUUACUCACUCCUUCUUAGUUAUGCCUGAGUGUCCUUACCCUCUAGUUGGCCGUGACUUGCUCCACAAGCUAAGAGCAACCAUUUCCUUCCGAAAUGAAGGGCCUGAAGUAAACUUUCCUAGACAGCCGAGUUCCAUCUUAAUUACCUGCCCCCUGUCUGAACAGUACCUCCUCCUAACCGGGGAAGAUGCUCAUAAACAAGAGACUGAGCUCCUCAUAAAGUGGCAGAAAGAAAUUCCAGAAGUAUGGGCAGAAACCAAUCUCCCGGGACUGGCUGGCCACCAGCCCCCAAUAGUUGUCCAGCUUCUAAGCCAUGCCACACCUGUCCGGAUUCGACAAUAUCCAAUGAGUUACCGAGCUAAAAAAGUAAUAGCUGUCCACAUUAAGAGACUAAGGGAAGCGGGGAUCCUUGUACCCUGCAAGUCCCCUUGAAACACCCCGCUCCUACCUGUCCAAAAACCAGGGACCGAGGACUUCAGGCCAGUACAAGAUCUACGAGAGGUCAGCAAGAGGGUUGAGACGAUCCACCCAACAGUCCCUAACCCGUAUACCUUGCUUAGCUUGCUUCCUCCCAAUCGAAAGUGUACACUGUACUAGAUUUAAAGGAUGCCUUCUUUUCACUACCGCUGGCUCCGGUCAGCCAGCCUCUUUUUGCCUUUGAGUGGACAGACCCCGAAGUAGGGGAUUCGGGACAAUUGACCUGGACUAGGCUGCCCCAAGGUUUUAAAAACUCUCCUACUCUCUUUGAUGAAGCCCUUAGCCGGGACUUACUAGAAUUCCGGGAAAGACACCCCGAGGUUACUGUCCUCCAAUAUAUAGAAAAAUGCCUCAAAAAUACUAGAGCUUUUAACAGCCCUUUGGCUUCCGAGAGCAGUAGCCAUAAUCCACUGCAAAGGACAUUAAACCUCAAAUACACCUGAAGCAAAGGGAAAUGCUUUCGCCGACCAAAUGGCCCAAAAAAGCGGCCCUAAAACCAGUGGGGCCCCUUCAAGUCUUGCCCCUCCUACCACCCCGAGUACUAAAAGCUGCCCCAACUUACUCAGACUCUGACAUUCAUCUAAGUCAAGUGCUCCAAGCUAAAAAUGAUUCAAAAGGGUGGAAAGUCCUCCCCGACUCUAGAAUCCUCCUACCAGAAGCACUGGGAAGAGACUUAAUUUUACAAACACAUCAGAGUACACACUUAGGGGAGACAAAAUUAGCUGAAUUGCUAAAAACUAACUUUUACAUACCUAAGCUUUUUCAGGUAGCAAAGGAGGUAAGCAGAAGAUGCCACGUCUGCGCUCAAGUCAACCCGAGUCAUGUAAGUACCCCUGCUACCCCAGGUCACCGCCUAAGAGGUCAGCUCCCAGGAGAGCAGUGAGAAAUAGACUUCACGGAACUGCCUCCUGGACCAGGAGGAUACAAGUACUUACUUGUGCUGGUGGACACCUUCUCAGGAUGGGUUGAGGCCUACCCAACUCGGUCAGAGUCAGCCCAGGUAGUAGCUAAAAAAUUAUUAGCUGAAAUUAUCCCUCGGUUUGGCCUACCGGUAACAAUGGGGUCUGACAAUGGUCCGGCUUUUAUAGCCCAAGUUACCCAGAAUUUGGUAAAAGCAUUAGGAAUCGAAUGGAAACUACACUGCAUCUAUAGACCGCAAAGCUCAGGGCAGGUAGAAAGAAUGAAUCGGACACUUAAGGAAACCCUCACCAAACUUAAACUAGAGACUGGCGGAAACUGGGUGAGCCUCCUUCCGUUUGCCUUGCUCAAAGCUAGGUGCACCCCUUAUGUAAAAGGUAUUACUCCAUAUGAAGCCAUGUUUGGCAGGCCACCCCCGCUCCUCCCCAAGCUAGGGGAGGAGCAGCUCGCCUCCCUGUCUAAUUCUGAACUUCUCAAGUCCCUACAGGCUAUACACUGCAACUCCAAAGGCAUCCACCACACCGUCCGCAACCACCACUCAAAACCUGACGCCGUGGAAGAAAAAACCCCUACCGCUGAACCUGGGGAUUUGGUGUGGAUCAAGAAAAGACACCCCUCCUCCUUGAAGCACGCUGGGCUGGACCUUAUUAGGUGAUUCUAAGCACACCAACCACUGUGAAAGUCGCAGGUUUACUUGAAUCUCCAUAACAAAAGUGUAUCCUGUGGGAAAACAUGAUGAUUGGCUCCCUGAGAGGUACUGGGCCCUUUUGAAUGGAUGUGAAGAAGGAAAGUCCAUGAAACAAGAUUUGGUUUAAAAACUACAGAUGGAGAUAGAAAAGACUGAAAGUUGAACCCAAGAACAAGACAAGACUCAGCCCUGCACUGCAGACCUACCAAAAGAUUCCAGAGGACCCCAGACACCCACCAUGGAAUCUCAAACAACUACCCCAGGUCAAUCUUUUGAGAGGAACCAAAUCCCUGAUUUUGCUACCAAAGAAGAACUGGCUACACCAACAGGCACUCCACAACCAAGAAUUCAAGAACUGUUUCUGAACUGAAGGGAUCAGCACUCAGAGCACAGGAAAAGGGAAUCCAUAAAUCCCUUGGGAGACAGCCCAAGUGGGAAUCCAGAGCUGACUCUUCAGCAGCACCAAAUCGAACUGUCCACUCUCCCAGGCAGGUGGGGGCUCUGGAAGGCGGGAACCAUGCAUCCCGAUGGUUCAGCCCACCCAGGCUGUGCAGGGAGGAGAGAACUCUGACACCCCCCUGACUCCUAUGAAUCCCUUGACAGAACCACCGACCUUGAUCAGGGCCAUCUCAGAUACGCAGACUCCUUUCGGGCCCCAGUAGCAAGGAAAAUGCCAGGAUCACAGUGAGCACACUGGCAGGGAAAUUCGGCAAUUGAAGGACUCGUAUCCUGAGCCUGAAAAAGUCCAGGUGCCUGACGUAUCUUACGUUAUGCGAUGGUGGGACUAGGUGCGCCUGGCUCUGAUUGCAGAAUGGGAACCUCCCAAAAGAGACACUGGAGCAGGCCGGACACACUGAUGCAGACUCGUGGCCCAAUCAGCUCAGGAGCUGCAUCAUCAGCUUGACCAACACACAAGCAAUAGGUGGAUCUCUCAAGGCUUUGGGAUGAACUCUGUCAUCUACAGAUUUUCAUUUAGGGGAACAAUCUCUUCUGAAUCUGGAUGCUCAGGAAGAGGACCCUCCCUGAACCCAACCACCCCUCCAAGAGGAAGAAUUUCAUGCUGCUCCACAUGCUGCCAGGCUCAUAAGGGGCUCAGCUUUAGGAGAAGGAAGAUGGCCUUCUCUUGACCAUGGUCCAGGCCUCCUUCCUUUGAUGUGCAAACUGAAAGAUUUAAAGAAUGAUGAACAGUGAGGACAUCACAUUCGGGAACAAGGCUAAUUCAGGAAGGAGAUUCAACACUCUGGACCCAAAUGGAAGAUUUUCCUCUGUCGUGUGAGCAGUGGUUCCCGUCUGUGCUCACUUCCUGGAGUAAGGGAUUCGCUGGAAGCUCCAUCCUGCCUCUAGAAGCAACAUCAGGACCAGGUAUUGAAAAUGUUUGCUCAAUCCUUGAUGUAAAACAUUUUCAUGAGAAAUAUGACCUCCUCCCUGUAAUCAUCAUGCCGUCACCAUUCUGUACAAACAAAGAACUGUCAUAGAACACAAGUGAAGAGAAUGGGUCUUAGAGGAACUUACCUGCAUUUUGUGACUUUGAGCAAGAUGGGAGGUCAAAUUUGAAAUUCGUUUGACAUGUAAAAAAUAAGGAGAUGUAGUAUUUCUUGAUAAUGUGAGUUUAAUAAAAUGAGUUUUUUUCCCCCGCUACACUGAGUGUUUGAAUUGGGAACUAGAACCUAUCUCAAUAUUAAUCAGUAAGGGAUGAUGAAAAGAUACAUCCAUAAUACUGAGUACUCCUCUCAAAUGAAUGCAUUUUUUUUCCUCUUAUGAUUUAAAACAUACAGAUAAUCACACGGGAAAUUAUUAUAGCAUAACACACAAUCACAAUAUAGUCUACUAAUAUUAAUAGUUCCACAUUUUUAUGUUAUUCAUAUAUAUUUACGCAUACAUGUGUAUAUAUAUAUAUCAAAUGCCCUAUUUUAUUGUAAAUAAAUUAUAUGUAAACUUAGAAGUUCUGGAACAAUCAUCUUACUACACACACAGUCUUCUCCUUUGUUUUGAAGCGGUAAUUUCGAAAGUUAC